rnacentral:rRNA from 1 species
AUUGAACGCUAGCGGGAUGCUUUACACAUGCAAGUCGAACGAGUGGCGGACGGGUGAGUAAUAUAUCGGAACGUGUCCAGUAGCGGGGGAUAACUACUCGAAAGAGUGGCUAAUCCCGCAUACCAUUCGCGCGGCCGUUAUGGGAUUAGCUAGUUGGUGGGGUAAAGGCUUCCCAAGGCAACGAUCCGUAGCUGGUUGGAGAGGACGACCAGCCACACUGGGACUGAGAUGCGGCCCAGACUCCUACGGGAGGCAGCAGUGGGGAAUUUUGGACAAUGGGGGAAACCCUGAUCCAGCCAUCCCGCGUGUAUGAGAAGGCCUUCGGGUUGUAAAGUACUUUUGGCAGAGAAGCGGUAUCUGCAGAAUAAGCACCGGCUAACUACGUGCCAGCAGCCGCGGUAAUAC